CACAAGUAACUUACCAUAGAUCGUAAAUAAGUUUGGGAACCUACUACACUAAUAUUGAAAUAUGUUAUAAUAAAGACCAAAGUUAAGCUAAAUUGAAAAGAAAUAUUACAUUAACCAAAUAUCUGAAAUAUAAACACUGUAGUUACUCAAAUCCACACAAACUUAAAUGUUCCCAAACAAAUCCAAAUGACUCCUGAAAGUCCGCUACUGCAUCCCAAAAUGAGCACCUGGACGGUACGAAAUGGUACCUCCUGUAGGUCCAGGUGUAGAAUGAAAAGGAGCCGGAAUGCCCCCAAAUAGCUUGUUCCCAAAAUUACUACCCAUGAUGACUUGUGGUUGGAAAUUGUCCUACCUCUCCGAUGGUACUGGGAGGUCUAAGUUUUCAAGGGAGUGGCUAAAAAUACAAAAUUUCCGUUUACUUCAGUUGCUUAGUGUGUGAAAAAAAAGGAUCCAAGGAAAGAUAGAAGAAAAACCAAGAAAGUGUUUUUUUGUAUAGAUAGUAAUAAAAAACUCAUUAGUGUUAGGCACAAGAAAUUACUGAAUACUUAACCUUGACAAACUUUAUGUGAGAAUUUCUAAUUACAGCCACGUGGAUUUGGGAUUUAAAUACA
rnacentral:lncRNA from 1 species